rnacentral:rRNA from 1 species
GACGAACGCUGGCGGCGUGCUUAACACAUGCAAGUCGAACGGAAAGGCCCUGCUUUCGUGGUGUUCUCGAGUGGCGAACGGGUGAGUAACACGUGAGUAACCUGCUCUUGACUUUGGGAUAACUUCAGGAAACUGGAGCUAAUACCGGAUAGGAGCCCCUGCUGCGUGGUGGGGGUUGGAAAGUUUCGGCGGGUGGGGAUGGACUCGCGGCUUAUCAGCUUGUUGGUGGGGUGGUGGCUUACCAAGGCUUUGACGGGUAGCCGGCCUGAGAGGGUGACCGGCCACAUUGGGACUGCGAUACGGCCCAGACUCCUACGGGAGGCAGCAGUGGGGAAUAUUGCACAAUGGGCGGACGCCUGAUGCAGCGACGCCGCGUGCGGGAUGACGGCCUUCGGGUUGUAAACCGCUUUCGCCUGUGACGAAGCGUGAGUGACGGUAAUGGGUAAAGAAGCACCGGCUAACUACGUG